rnacentral:rRNA from 1 species
GGGUUGUGAGGUUAAGCGACUAAGCGUACACGGUGGAUGCCCUGGCAGUCAGAGGCGAUGAAGGACGUGCUAAUCUGCGAUAAGCGUCGGUGAGGUGAUAUGAACCGUUAUAACCGGCGAUUUCCGAAUGGGGAAACCCAGUGUGUUUCGACACACUAUCAUUAACUGAAUCCAUAGGUUAAUGAGGCGAACCGGGGGAACUGAAACAUCUAAGUACCCCGAGGAAAAGAAAUCAACCGAGAUUCCCCCAGUAGCGGCGAGCGAACGGGGAGGAGCCCAGAGCCUGAAUCAGUGUGUGUGUUAGUGGAAGCGUCUGGAAAGGCGUGCGAUACAGGGUGACAGCCCCGUACACAAAAAUGCACAUAUUGUGAGCUCGAUGAGUAGGGCGGG